rnacentral:rRNA from 1 species
CGUGUAGGCGGUUCUUGUAAGUCGGGCGUGAAAGCCUCUGGCUCAACCAGAGAUCUGCGCUCGAUACUGCGAGGCUUGAGUGCAGGAGAGGAAAGCGGAAUUCCUGGUGUAGCGGUGAAAUGCGUAGAUAUCAGGAAGAACACCAGUGGCGAAGGCGGCUUUCUGGUCUGUCGACUGACGCUGAGGCGCGAAAGCCAGGGGAGCGAACGGGAUUAGAUACCCCGGUAGUCCUGGCCGUAAACGUUGGGCACUAGGUGUAGGAGGUAUCGACCCCUUCUGUGCCGCAGCUAACGCAUUAAGUGCCCCGCCUGGGGAGUACGACCGCAAGGUUGAA